rnacentral:lncRNA from 1 species
GAGCAGGUGGCGGCCGCCUCAGAAGGGCCCGGGGGCCGCCGGGCGCGAGGCGCGAGGCCGUCUGUGGAGAAGGAGCCCGCGCCGCGUCCGCCGGAGACCCUGCGUGACCCCACAGGCUGAACGGAACGGAGCAAACAGAGCCGUCAGCACACGCUGAGCAACUGGAGAGAGCCAUUAACAGGUUAGUCAAAAACACCGUCCUUCACUGCGAAAGUUAUUCCUUUCUGGAUGCAGCCGGAGCACUUUGGAUCAUCUCUAUCAGACACCGCAGUAGGACUGAAGCAGAGUGAACUCCAUGAGCGCCAAGCUUCAGCACAUUAAUUGCUGCUCCUCAGGAACCCGAGACGACCAUUUGAAGGCUGUCUUUUGUCUCAAUGGAAUUUCAGCAUCUCCUUGGGCUUUGCAUUUAUACCAUUCGUGUGAACAGCAAAACUGCACGCAGAUGAUACAGAAGUAACAUAAUAGCAGCAGUAACCGGAUUAACAAUCCAUUAGCACAGAUCUGAAAUCCCAGUGGUUAUUAACUGGGAGUGAAGGGAGGGGUUGCUAUUCUCCAUAUUAGCACAUGAAUAAAACACUGCCA